CAUGGCAACAGUGAUGAGUCCUUACAGACCUGUAAUGAUUCUUGCGGGAAUGAUCGCUUGAUUCAAAGAACAUCUAAGGGACUGAGUUAUCAUG
rnacentral:snoRNA from 2 species